rnacentral:rRNA from 1 species
GAUGAACGCUAGCGGGAGGCCUAACACAUGCAAGCCGAGCGGGAUUUGUUGGUUAGCUUGCUAACUAACAAUGAGAGCGGCGUACGGGUGCGUAGCACGUGUGCAACCUGCCUUUAUCUGGGGGAUAGCCUUUCGAAAGGAAGAUUAAUACCCCAUAACAUAUUGAUUGGCAUCAGUUAAUAUUGAAAGCUCCGGCGGAUAGAGAUGGGCACGCGUAAGAUUAGCUAGUUGGUGAGGUAACGGCUCACCAAGGCUGCGAUCCUUAGGGGGCCUGAGAGGGUGCUCCCCCGCACGGGUACUGGGGCACGGGCCAGGCUCCUACGGGAGGCAGCAGUGAGGAAUAUUGGACAAUGGGUGAGAGCCUGAUCCAGCCAUCCCGCGUGAAGGACUAAGGGCCUAUGGUUGGUAAACUUCUUUUAUACAGGGAUAAACCUACUCUCGUGAGGGUAGCUGAAGGUACUGUAUGAAUAAGCACCGGCUAACUCCGUG